ensembl:lncRNA
CCCUGAUUUGCCUCCAUUUGCUCCCUUAGUUCAGAAACCGAGACUUGAAAGCUGUCCUGUGGAGGAUAAAAGACACAUCAGCUGGCUGAACAUUUGUAAGAGCCUCAUAAAGCGACAUCUUCAGCAUGAAGCAGCUGACUGGAGCCAGACGCAGAAUUAUUUCAACACCUGUUGAAGCAAGCUGUCUUGGGUCAGGUCCAACCUGUUGGUAACAGCUGGGUGCUGGAGCACAGAAUCAGCCAUGGCAGGGACCAGAAAUGCCACCGAAGUCAUUGCAAGGGACAGAGUUAAGUUUGUUUGAAAAUGAGGAACCUGUGCUGACCGCGUGGUGAAAAAUGCUUCCUACAUAUCUUUCUAGAUAAGAACAUUACUGAGAGGAACCGCAUUAUUGAUUCUAUAUUCAUUGAAGUUGUUAUGAAGAUUCCCAGAUGUCAACACCACAAGAUGGAAACCACUUCUAAAUGUACAGCUUGAGUGAAGAAUACACGGACAGAGAUUAUUUAAAAUACGCUUGGGAUGAUCAGCACAUCCAGUUUUAGAAAAUGUAUUUUUGGUGAAGAAUUAAUAUUUAAUUAUACUACAGAGAAGCUGUUUGAACACUUAGAAAGAAUUGGGCCAUUUUUAGAGGCCGUACUCCUGCUUAAAUGUUGCAUCCAAUGGACAGUGGUUCUUUUUGCCACAUGUACAGCAUUUACCGUGUUCCAUAACACAACUUAUCUGAUACCCUCGGGAUGUGAUGCAAGAUAGCACAUGACCAUUCUGAAGCCUGUGGUGCACAUAAUGCUAUCUUCCAGCCAGGCAAAAAUCUCCAUCAACUGCAUGAGGGGCCAAUAAGGAGCAUCUCAGUUAUCCUCACCUGAAUUCAGAAACUUCCUUCACUGUAAAUCCCACUCAGACAAAAGAAAGCAGCAAAUUGUCAAUUGGGUUGCGGGGCAUUUUUUACCAGUGCCAGUCUGUCCUUGGAAAAAAUGGCCUAUUCUGGUUUUCAAUGUUUUUAGUUAAAAUUUGUCUCAUUUGAGGAUCAUUUGAUACCCGUUGCCUGACAACUCUUAAGAAAAAUAAAUAUUCAUAUAAUUCUAUUCUUAAGUUUGAGCAAGGUUGACAAUUGUAUAUUUACAAAACAAACAACCACAAACCCCACAAACCCACCCACACAAACCACACAUGCAAGCACACUGAGAGCACGAACC